ACGAACGCUGGCGGCGUGCUUAACACAUGCAAGUCGAACGGAAAGGCCUGCUUUCCCUUGUGGAUUGCGGGUGCUCGAGUGGCGAACGGGUGAGUAACACGUGAGUGAUCUGCCCCCAACUUGGGUAUAAGCCUGGGAAACUGGGUCUAAUUCCCGAUAGGACUGCAGGGUGGUGCCUGUGGUUGAAAACGAUUUUCUAGUGGUUGGGGAUGAGCUCGCGGCCUAUCAGCUUGUUGGUGGGGUAAUGGCCUACCAAGGCGGCGACGGGUAGCCGGUCUGAGAGGGUGGACGGGCACAGUGGGACUGAGAUGCGGCGCAGACUCCUACGGGAGGCAGCAGUGGGGAAUAAGGCACAAUGGGCGGAAGCCUGAGGCAGCGACGCCGCGUGGGGGAUGACGGCCUUCGGGUGGUAAACUCCUUUCGACCGAGAGGAAGCCACCUGGUUGGAAGGGUGGUGACGGUAGUGGUAGAAGAAGCACCGGCUAACUACGUG
rnacentral:rRNA from 1 species